CCAUGCAUGUCUAAGUAUAAAUGAUAUACAGUAAAACUGCGAAUGGCUCAUUAAAACAGUUAUAGUUUAUUUGGUAAUCGAAUUUACAUGGAUAACCGUGGUAAUUCUAGAGCUAAUACAUGCUGUAAAGCCUGACUUCUCGGAAAGGCCGUAUUUAUUAGAUAACAGACCAAUAUUCCUCGUGUCCAUUGUGGUGAAUCAUAGUAACUAAUCGGAUCGCAUGGGCUAGUCCCGCGACAAACCAUUCAAGUUUCUGCCCCAUCAGCUUUCGAUGGUAGUGUAUUGGACUACCAUGGCUUUUAUGGGUAACGGAGGAUUAGGGUUCGAUUCCGGAGAGGGAGCCUGAGAAACGGCUACCACAUCUAAGGAAGGCAGCAGGCGCGUAAAUUACCCAAUUCUGAUUCAGAGAGGUAGUGACAAGAAAUAACGGGUCUGGACUACGUCCAGGGACUGCAAUGAGAUGAAUUUACACCCCUUUUCGAGUAUCAAUUGGAGGGCAAGUCUGGUGCCAGCAGCCGCGGUAAUUCCAGCUCCAAUAGCGUAUAUUAAAGUUGUUGCAGUUAAAAAGCUCGUAGUUGGAUUUCUGGCAGGAUGAAGCGACCCUCAAGUUGAGUGCGUCGCGGCGUCCUACCAUCCUUCUGUUAACCUAGAAGAUCUUAACGGUUUACUAGGGGCUCAGAUAUUUUACCUUGAGAAAAUUAGAGUGUUUCAGGCAGGCUAGCGCCGGAAUACAUUAGCAUGGAAUAAUAGAAUAGGACUUCUACCUCUUCUGUUGGUCUGAGGGGUUCAAGUAAUGAUUAAUAGGGAUAGUUGGGGGCAUUAGUACUUAACUGUCAG
rnacentral:rRNA from 1 species